CCAGCAGCUGCGGUAAUUCCAGCUCCAAUAGCGUAUAUUAAAGUUGUUGCAGUUAAAAAGCUCGUAGUUGAAUUUCUGGUGGGGGCGGUCGGUCCAUCAUUCAUUUGUUGGAACCUGAUUGUCUCCUGCCAUCCAUGGAGAGAACUUAUCUGGCAUUAAGUUGUCGGGUUGGCAAUCUUCAUCUUUUACUGUGAAAAAAUUAGAGUGUUCAAAGCAGGCUUAUGCCGUUGAAUAUAUUAGCAUGGAAUAAUAAGAUAGGACUAUGGUACUAUUUUGUUGGUUUGUGCACCAUGGUAAUGAUUAAUAGGGACAGUUGGGGGUAUUCGUAUUCCAUUGUCAGAGGUGAAAUUCUUGGAUUUAUGGAAGACGAACUACUGCGAAAGCAUUUACCAAGGAUGUUUUCA
rnacentral:rRNA from 1 species